CGGUUAAAGAGCGGCGGACGGGUGAGUAACGCGUGGGUAACCUGCCCUGUACACACGGAUAACAUAGCGAAAGGUAUGCUAAUACGAGAUAAAAUACUUUUAUCGCAUGGUAGAAGUAUCAAAGUUUUUGCGGUACAGGAUGGACCCGCGUCUGAUUAGCUAGUUGGUAAGGUAACGGCUUACCAAGGCGACGAUCAGUAGCCGACCUGAGAGGGUGAUCGGCCACAUUGGAACUGAGACACGGUCCAAACUCCUACGGGAGGCAGCAG
rnacentral:rRNA from 1 species